GGAAACGAGUUAACUGAACCUUCGGGGAACGUUAACGGCGUCGAGCGGCGGACGGGUGAGUAAUGCCUGGGAAAUUGCCCUGAUGUGGGGGAUAACCAUUGGAAACGAUGGCUAAUACCGCAUAAUAGCUUCGGCUCAAAGAGGGGGACCUUCGGGCCUCUCGCGUCAGGAUAUGCCCAGGUGGGAUUAGCUAGUUGGUGAGGUAAGGGCUCACCAAGGCGACGAUCCCUAGCUGGUCUGAGAGGAUGAUCAGCCACACUGGAACUGAGACACGGUCCAGACUCCUACGGGAGGCAGCAGUGGGGAAUAUUGCACAAUGGGCGCAAGCCUGAUGCAGCCAUGCCGCGUGUAUGAAGAAGGCCUUCGGGUUGUAAAGUACUUUCAGCAGUGAGGAAGGUGGUGUCGUUAAUAGCGGCAUCAUUUGACGUUAGCUGCAGAAGAAGCACCGGCUAACUCCGUGCCAGCAGCCGCGGUAAUACGGAGGGUGCGAGCGUUAAUCGGAAUUACUGGGCGUAAAGCGCGCGUAGGCGGCUUGGUAAGUUGGAUGUGAAAGCCCCGGGCUCAACCUGGGAACUGCAUCCAAAACUGCCUGGCUAGAGUAUGGUAGAGGAUGGCGGAAUUUCCUGUGUAGCGGUGAAAUGCGUAGAUAUAGGAAGGAACAUCAGUGGCGAAGGCGGCCAUCUGGACCAAUACU
rnacentral:rRNA from 1 species